rnacentral:rRNA from 1 species
GAUUAAGUUAUUAAGGGCGCACGGUGGAUGCCUUGGCACUAGAAGCCGAUGAAGGACGUUACUAACGACGAUAUGCUUUGGGGAGCUGUAAGUAAGCUUUGAUCCAGAGAUUUCCGAAUGGGGAAACCCAGCAUGAGUUAUGUCAUGUUAUCGAUAUGUGAAUACAUAGCAUAUCAGAAGGCACACCCGGAGAACUGAAACAUCUUAGUACCCGGAGGAAGAGAAAGAAAAUUCGAUUCCCUUAGUAGCGGCGAGCGAAACGGGAAGAGCCCAAACCAACAAGCUUGCUUGUUGGGGUUGUAGGACACUCUAUACGGAGUUACAAAGGACGACAUUAGACGAAUCAUCUGGAAAGAUGAAUCAAAGAAGGUAAUAAUCCUGUAGUCGAAAAUGUUGUCUCUCUUGAGUGGAUCCUGAGUACGACGGAGCACGUGAAAUUCCGUCGGAAUCUGGGAGGACCAUCUCCUAAGGCUAAAUA